GGUAACAUUUCUAGCUUGCUAGAAGAUGACGAGUGGCGGACGGGUGAGUAAUGCUUGGGAACUUGCCUUUGCGAGGGGGAUAACAGUUGGAAACGACUGCUAAUACCGCAUAAUGUCUUCGGACCAAACGGGGCUUCGGCUCCGGCGCAAAGAGAGGCCCAAGUGAGAUUAGCUAGUUGGUAAGGUAACGGCUUACCAAGGCGACGAUCUCUAGCUGUUCUGAGAGGAAGAUCAGCCACACUGGGACUGAGACACGGCCCAGACUCCUACGGGAGGCAGCAGUGGGGAAUAUUGCACAAUGGGGGAAACCCUGAUGCAGCCAUGCCGCGUGUGUGAAGAAGGCCUUCGGGUUGUAAAGCACUUUCAGUUGUGAGGAAAAGUUAGUAGUUAAUACCUGCUAGCCGUGACGUUAACAACAGAAGAAGCACCGGCUAACUCCGUGCCAGCAGCCGCGGUAAUACGGAGGGUGCGAGCGUUAAUCGGAAUUACUGGGCGUAAAGCGCAC
rnacentral:rRNA from 1 species